GCUAAAACCGGAUGUGCCGAAAGGUGAAAAAUUAAUUGCCUGAAGAGGGGCUUGCGUCUGAUUAGCUAGUUGGAGUGGUAAAGGCACACCAAGGCGACGAUCAGUAACUGGUCUGAGAGGAUGAGCAGUCACACUGGGACUGAGACACGGCCCAGACUCCUACGGGAGGCAGCAGUGGGGAAUUUUCCGCAAUGGGCGAAAGCCUGACGGAGCAAGACCGCGUGAGGGAGGAAGGCCCUAGGGUUGUAAACCUCUUUUCUCUGGGAAGAAGAAUGACGGUACCAGAGGAAUAAGCCUCGGCUAACUCCGUGCCAGCAGCCGCGGUAAUACGGAGGAGGCAAGCGUUAUCCGGAAUGAUUGGGCGUAAAGAGUUCGUAGGUGGUAAUGAAAGUUUGCCGUUAAAGACUAAGGCUUAACCUUAGGAGAGCGGUGAAAACUACAUAACUAGAGUAUGGAAGGGGCAGAGGGAAUUCCUGGUGUAGCGGUGAAAUGCGUAGAGAUCAGGAGGAACAUCGGUGGCGAAAGCGCUCUGCUAGGCCAAAACUGACACUGAGGAACGAAAGCUAGGGGAGCGAAAGGGAUUAGAUACCCCAGUAGUC
rnacentral:rRNA from 1 species